GGCAUGCAAGCGCUUAACACAUCACUGGUUCUCAUCUAUCCCGGGCACGAGGGAAGGAAUAAUGAUAAUAAUCAUGAUGAUAAUAACAAUAACAGUAUUGCUGACAGAGUACCAUUAGUAGAUGGAGAUAUGAAGUAACCUCAAGGUCCUGACAGAGUGAUAACAGUGCCAGAGUGCCAGUAUAGAGCCGAGAAUCGUGCCUACUCGCAGCUCAGUCAGCUUCCCGGUCCUGCCUCACUGUCACUCGCUUUACCACUUCUAGCUGACAUUGUUUAACCGUGGCUCUUGUGACUGUUCAGUGACGCGUAUCUCUGCAUAAUUCGUAGUGAAAAAAAAAGUUUGAUUACAAGGCGAGACUGAGAUUAAGACUGGGAUUACUGGAGUGGCUUGAAUGAAAGAGGUGUGCGUAUUGAACAUCACGAGUUGUGGAGAGAAGAGCGAUGACCGAAUCAUAUUCUCAGGAGACGGCUAUGAAGACCCCCACGAUGUUUGCGAAAUACCCUGGGAUCUACAACAGCACCUGCCCCCAGCACAGGUGCAUUGAGGAGCUCCACCUGAUCUGCGUGGAUUCCCUGUGCAAGUGCCUCACGGGUUACACUCCUGACUCGCAAGGUAAGGGAAUCGGUUACUGAGUCGACAGUGUGAAUUACCUGAUCAUUUCUUUUCUUUUUGUUUAAUUUAAAUGUCUAUUUUUUUAAAUACACAAAUGUAGAAGCAUAGGCCACUGUAACUCUGGAUUGUGCACGGAAUUUCGGCCGGUCGACAACUUUUUUAUACCUGGCGUAUUUUCUACCUAGCUAACCCCUUUAGGUGCCAGAUAAUAUGCGAUAGUCAUUUAACCAUGCUUCACACUAUCUGGUGUGAACACGAAUAAACAAUAAAUCAGUUAUAUAACCCUACAAGCCUUUUAGCAAACUACUUAGUAGGCACACAGGUAAAAUAUAACUUUCACACGCUAGCCUCAUUUUGGUUCC